UGUUGAAAGUGACCUGAUGACUUUUGCAACCGGUCAGUACCUUUUUCACCUUUUUCUUUGAAUUCAAAUUUCAGAAGCUUUACUUUUUCUUCCAAAACUGCGUAUUCUCCUCCUCCAGUCUCUUGCUUCCAUCGGCGAUCCAGACUUCGGAAACUCCGGGAGAUGAUGAGUCGUAUCAUGGUUGGAGGAUUGAUAAAUUUGAUUUCGAAUCGCCUGUUGUGUCCGGUACCCCUGUCAAGGCACUCAAAGUCGACCGGACCGGACUCGCUGCCGCCUGUGGUCAGUGCUCAAGCAGUAUGCCGUGUAGAACUCCUCUAGCUGAUGUUUCUAAUAAGCCUUUCUUGGGUGGUAGGCAGGUAAACAAACUGAUUCCAGUUCUUCUGCUUCACAGUUCACACUGAUUUGUCGCUUUUCACAUUUGAUAUUGUAUAUUUUCAUACAAAGCAACGGCACUCCCUCCUCAGAAGUUGUCUCUACAGUCGGGUCAUAUUUUAUCAGGCGAGAACUGUAAGUUGUUAUGUCUCUUAAAUUUAAUGUCGGGUAAGAUACAUGUUAAUGAGUAACCAUUUUUUAAUGCUUUCACACAAUUCCUCAAGUGCAAUCUCAGAGGCGUUGCUCCUCCCCCUCAACACCCCCAUGGGGACCACGAGUGUUGGUGAAUCUCCGCUGGCUGGGUUCAAUCUUUCUUUCUUUUUCUUUAUCCGUUAAAUUUAAACAAAACUUCUUGACUACUCCAUAGAUAUAUAUACCUAUGUUUGAGGCUGCAUUGUUUGUUUGCUCUGUUGUUUGUUUUUGUUGAUAGAUUUAAAGGUGCAAUGUAUGUUUAUGGUAUCGUUUUAAUGGACUGUUGAGAUGCGGAAAGAGUUAUAGAUUAAGAUGGAUCAACUAUUUGAGGCUGGAUGUGAAGAGGCAAUUUUCUUCUUAUUUAGGAAGAUGUCAUUGUUAAGCUGCAUGCUGAUUUGAGGAAUAAGUGAGUGUUCAUAUUUGUAUUUGGAUUUUGAGGUUCUUUUUGUUAUGUGAAAUGUUGGAUUUUGGUGUGAUUUGGGGAUAGGUAGUCUCUGAUUGCUGGUCACUUAGAUGGUAGAACAGACAACGAGAUUAAGAACUACUCUACUUGAAUUCUCAUUUGAGCAGAAAAGCAAAGAGCCUCCCUGUUUUUUAUCAAAUCAAACCUGUGGAAACUCAGGUUUUAAUGGAUCAAUCACAAAAGCAUGAAGAAAAAAAAAGCGAAGCAGCAAGGCUCGAAGAUUCUACCCUGUGAUAAGAAAUUGUUAGAGAUUCCGGAAGAUUGUAGCUUGAAAGUGCAAAUUGAGCCUUCAACAUCGUUUAUGGAGGAGAGUUUAGGCGACAUUCUUAAAUGGAUGCAUGAUAAUAUUCAUAAUCAGUGCACAAGGCUCCCGGAUGAGCAGAGUUUGUGGAAUAAUAUUGAUCUCGGAAAAGAUAUAGCUGGUGGUACCUUUCUGGACUCUGGAUUUGGUAUGGAUUUUUCUAAUGAGGUGCUAGGUGAUCUGGAUUUUCCUAACGACAUGCUAGGUGAUCUGGAUUUUAACGGAUCACUGGAAAUUGCCCUGGCUACGACGACAGGAAAUGAGCUGGUGCAAGCAUAACCAAGAGACAAAUACUUCUUCUGUUACAAAUACCACUUCAUGCAUACACAAAGAAUUAGAAGAAUAUGCGGGUUGUGAUUAUCUUCACGACGGCCUGCAAGGAGAUUUGUUCUGGGAUAUUGAACAAGAGAGACUGAUGAUUUCUGGACUGUGGGAGGCUACUGAUGAUUGAUGAUGAAGGAUAGUCUGGUGAUCAAAUAGAUUAUUAUAAAGAAAAUGAUAGUGUUAGAUAGUUUCUUACUACUUGAAUUCAAUUUGUCACCAUUUUUUCAUUAUUACAGAUUAGUUUCUAAGAUCAAUGUGUGGGAGCUUCUCACAUUUGAUAUUUGUUG